AACGAACGCUGGCGGCAUGCCUAAUACAUGCAAGUCGAACGAGACCUUCGGGUCUAGUGGCGCACGGUUUCGUAACGCGUGGGAACCUGCCCUUAGGGUCGGAAUAACUCUCCGAAAGGGGUGCUAAUACCGGAUAAUGUCUUCGGACCAAAGAUUUAUCGCCUUUGGAUGGGCCCGCGUUGGAUUAGCUAGUUGGUAGGGUAAAAGCCUACCAAGGCGACGAUCCAUAGCUGGUCUGAGAGGAUGAUCAGCCACACUGGGACUGAGACACGGCCCAGACUCCUACGGGAGGCAGCAGUGGGGAAUAUUGGACAAUGGGCGAAAGCCUGAUCCAGCAAUGCCGCGUGAGUGAUGAAGGCCUUAGGGUUGUAAAGCUCUUUUACCCGGGAUGAUAAUGACAGUACCGGGAGAAUAAGCUCCGGCUAACUCCGUG
rnacentral:rRNA from 1 species